rnacentral:rRNA from 1 species
AUUGAACGCUGGCGGCAGGCCUAACACAUGCAAGUCGAGCGAGCGGCGGACGGGUGAGUAAUGUAUGGGGACUGCCCGUUCGAGGGGGGUAAAUACUGGAAAAGGUAGCUAAUACCGCAUACUAUCGGAUAACCCAUAUGGGAUUAGCUAGUCGGGGGGGUAAGGGCUCACCUAGGCGACGAUCCCUAGCUGGUCUGAGAGGAUGAUCAGCCACACUGGGACUGAGAGACGGCCGAGACUCCUACGGAGGCAGCAGUGGGGGAUAUUGGAGAAUUGGCGCAAUCCUGAUGCAGCCAUGCCGCGUGUAUGAAGAAGGCCAUAGGGUUGUAAAGUACUUUCAGUCGGGAGGCGUUACCGGCAGAAGAAGCACCGGCUAACUCCGUGCCAGCAGCCGCGGUAAUAC